rnacentral:misc_RNA from 1 species
GAUGAAGAACGUAGCGAAAUGCGAUAAGUAAUGUGAAUUGCAGAAUUCAGUGAAUCAUCGAAUCUUUGAACGCACAUUGCGCCCGCCAGUAUUCUGGCGGGCAUGCCUGUUCGAGCGUCAUUUCAACCAUCAAGCCCCCGGCUUGUGUUGGGGACCUGCGGCUGCCGCAGGCCCUGAAAACCAGUGGCGGGCUCGCUAGUCACUCCGAGCGUAGUAAUACAUCUCGCUCAGGGCGUGCUGCGGGUUCCGGCCGUUAAAAGCCUUAUUUACCCAAGGUUGACCUCGGAUCAGGUAGGGAGACCCGCUGAACUUAAGCAUAUCAAUAAGCGGAGGA